rnacentral:rRNA from 1 species
UACGAAGGGGGCUAGCGUUUUUCGGAUUUACUGGGCGUAAAGCGCACGUAGGCGGAUCGUUAAGUCGGGGGUGAAAUCCUGGAGCUCAACUCCAGAACUGCCUUCGAUACUGGCGAUCUUGAGUCCGGAAGAGGUGAGUGGAACUCCUAGUGUAGAGGUGGAAUUCGUAGAUAUUAGGAAGAACACCAGUGGCGAAGGCGGCUCACUGGUCCGGUACUGACGCUGAGGUGCGAAAGCGUGGGGAGCAAACAGG